CGGACGGGUGAGUAAUGUCUGGGAAACUGCCUGAUGGAGGGGGAUAACUACUGGAAACGGUAGCUAAUACCGCAUAACGUCGCAAGACCAAAGAGGGGACCUUCGGGCCUCUUGCCGUCGGAUGUGCCCAGAUGGGAUUAGCUAGUAGGUGGGGUAACGGCUCACCUAGGCGACGAUCCCUAGCUGGUCUGAGAGGAUGACCAGCCACACUGGAACUGAGACACGGUCCAG
rnacentral:rRNA from 1 species